rnacentral:tRNA from 1 species
GGAGAAUUAGCUCAGCUGGGAGAGCAUCUGCCUUACAAGCAGAGGGUCGGCGGUUCGAUUCCGUCAUUCUCCACCA